ACCCGCUGAAUUUAAGCAUAUUAAUAAGCGGAGGAAAAGAAACUAACCAGGAUUCCCCUAGUAACGGCGUGUGAAACGGGAACAGCGCAAAUUUGAAAUCUGGGUCUUUUGGACUCCGAGUUGUAAUUUAUGGAGUGUACAUCACAGUUAUCUCAGCUAUGCUCAAAUGUUUUUGGAACAUACUGCCAGAGAGGGUGAUAGCCCCGUUUGUAGUGUAGUUUUAUGAGGUGGCAACAUGUGUUGUACUCUUUGAGAGUCGGGUUGCUUGGGAUUGCAGCCUAAAAUGCGUGGUAAAUCUCACGUAACGCUAAAUAUUGACGAGAGACCGAUAGCGAACAAGUAGUGUGAACGAAAGAAGAAAAGAACUUUGAAAAGAGAGUGAAAAGUCCUUGAAAUUGUUAAAAGGGAAGCGCUUAAAACCAGUCUUUGUAUCUUAUUUUCAAUAAGUAUCUUUGUUUCUGUUCCGCAAUUCCUUCGGGAAAUGUGUCACUCAGUGAUAAAGAUAGGUUAAUAUCAAUUCAUUAUCAAGUAAAAGUCUGUUGAAGAAGGUGGGAUUGGCUUCUUGCUUUGGUGAGUUCUGAUCUUCAAGGCUUCAAUUGGUGCUACUUGGUGAUGGAUUGAGGAAUUUCACAGUAGUUAUCUUGUUGUCUUUUAUGUGUUGUGAUAUGUAACACUGGGAAAAAUCUUUCUGUUGCAUUGAUCAGUAUGUAAAGAGGGCAGUAAGGUGCUGCAUGUGAGGAUAUUAACACAAUGGUUUUAAUCGACCCGUCUUGAAACACGGACCAAGGAGUCUAACAAAUAUGCGAGUAUGAAGGUGUACUUUUAUUAUCUAAACCUUUGGAUGCACAAUGAAAGUAAAGACAAUUCUUUUAGAAUUGUUCAAGUGGGAUCUCACAUUAGGUUGUGAAGAGCACCAUUGACCGAUCAGGAUAGAAGGAGCAAUCCUUUUGAAAGAUUUGAGUAAGAGCAUAUCUGUUGGGACCCGAAAGAUGGUGAACUAUGGGUGAGUAGGGCGAAGUCAGAGGAAACUCUGAUGGAGGCUCGAAGCGAUGCUGACGUGCAAAUCGCUCGUCAAACUUGCCUAUAGGGGCGAAAGACUAAUCGAACCAUCUAGUAGCUGGUUCCCUUCGAAGUUUCCCUCAGGAUAGCAGGAGUUAUGUAGUAAACAGUUAUGUCUGGUAAAGCGAAUGAUUAGAGGUCCUGGGGAAGAAACUUCCUCAACCUAUUCUCAAACUUUAAAUAGGCAUGAUAUUGUGGUUGCUUCAAUAUUUUUGAACCACAAUUACGAAUGGCAAACUCCUAGUGGGCCAUUCCUGGUAAGCAGGACUGGCGAUGUGGGAUGAACCAAACGUUGAGUUAAAGUGCCAGAAUGUACACUCAUAUAGAUACCAGAAAAGGUGUUGGUUGAUACAGACAGAAGGACGGUGGCCAUGGAAGUUGGAAUCCGCUAAGGAGUGUGUAACAACUCACCUUCCGAAUCAACUAGCCCUGAAAAUGGAUGGCGCUAAAGUGUACUACUUAUACUCAACCUUCUAGGCAAAUAUUCUUUAUGUCUAGAAGAGUAGAAGGGCGUGGAGUUUCUGUAGAAGCCUAUGAGCGUGAGCUUGGGUGGAAGAAACUCUAGUGCAGAUCUUGGUGGUAG
rnacentral:rRNA from 1 species